UUUUUUUUUUUUUUUGAGGAUAAGGUAGUAUGCUACCAACUUCAUUCAUUGGACAGAUGAAUUAGGCUACAGAAGUGAGGCAACUGGGCCUCGAUUCGGAUGAAAAAAAAAAAUACCGAUUAGCCGACAAAAAUUGGUCCCAAAAAAUCGACAACUGUUUAACCUUACGGACUACUCUCAGCGGUUCCAGCUAAAUCUUUCUGAAGAUCACAUCGUUCUUGCUCUCUGAGAUGAUCCACCAACAAGCCGCUAGUUCCGGAAGCCUGUUACUCGUAUAUUGUGGGCUCUUUCUACCCGCCCAUGUAUCCCAUAUCCCUUGAACGCCGUCUCCCAACUC
rnacentral:lncRNA from 1 species